rnacentral:misc_RNA from 1 species
AAGACCACAACUUUGCAUUAUAAGCAAGAACUUUUAUCUGAAAUGUUGGAAUCUAACUAGUUUCAUCAAAUGCAAUGUUAUGCCACUUAAUAGAACCACCUCAAGGGUGGAAUAAUUAGCAAUUAAAUUGAAAGAGAAUAGCCCUCAAGAAGAUUACUGCUAACACUAAUACAUUUAAGGUUAGCUGGCCAAGAUGAAGGA